CAAUGUUGCACACCAUAACACAGAUACACAGCGAAACCUACAGUUGAAAGAAACAACUCUAUAUUUAACAUGAAAAUCUAUCAUAGUCCUGUCGUGUCACCGAGCAUCAUGCUAGCAGAGAAAACCCAAUUCAAGUGGUAACUCAUUCCACGUCAAAGCGGUGUGAGGAUCCAAGGUAAAGCGAAGGAGGAAAAUGUCUCCGUUAUUGUUCUGCGAUAUUUUUCUGUGAUUAAACAUUGUGAUUUUCUGUGAUUAAACACUGUGA
rnacentral:lncRNA from 1 species